UAGAGUUUGAUCAUGGCUCAGGAUGAUCGCUGGCGGCGUGCCUAACACACGCAAGUCGAACGGAAACAUCCCGUCGAUGCGAUUUCGGUCAAGUCAAGGGAUGUUUUAGUGGCGGACGGGUGAGUAACGCGUGGGCAACCUGCCUUACACCGGGGGAUAACACUUAGAAAUAGGUGCUAAUACCGCAUAACAGGAGAACAUGCAUGUGUUUUCCUUGAAAACCACGGUGGUGUAAGAUGGACCCGCGUCUGAUUAGCUUGUUGGCAGGGUAACGGCCUACCAAGGCGACGAUCAGUAGCCGGCCUGAGAGGGUGGACGGCCACAUUGGGACUGAGACACGGCCCAGACUCCUACGGGAGGCAGCAGUGGGGAAUAUUGCACAAUGGGGGAAACCCUGAUGCAGCGACGCCGCGUGAGUGAAGAAGUAUUUCGGUAUGUAAAGCUCUGUCAGCAGGGAAGAAAAUGACGGUACCUGACCAAGAAGCCCCGGCUAACUACGUGCCAGCAGCCGCGGUAAUACGUAGGGGGCAAGCGUUAUCCGGAUUUACUGGGUGUAAAGGGAGCGCAGACGGCAGUGCAAGUCCGGAGUGAAAGCCCGGGGCCCAACCCCGGGACUGCUCUGGGAACUGUACGGCUGGAGUGCCGGAGAGGUAAGCGGAAUUCCUAGUGUAGCGGUGAAAUGCGUAGAUAUUANGAGGAACACCAGUGGCGAAGGCGGCUUGCUGGACAUUAACUGCCGCUGAGGCGCGAAAGCGUGGGGAGCAAACAGGAUUACAUACCCUGGUAAUCCCCCCCCUAAACGAUGGAUACUACGGGUGGGGGGGCAUCCAACCUUCUCAGCCACACA
rnacentral:rRNA from 1 species